rnacentral:rRNA from 1 species
GACGAACGCUGGCGGCGUGCUUAACACAUGCAAGUCGACGGAAAGGCCCUGCUUUUGUGGGGUGCUCGAGUGGCGAACGGGUGAGUAACACGUGAGUAACCUGCCCUUGACUUUGGGAUAACUUCAGGAAACUGGGGCUAAUACCGGAUAGGAGCUCCUGCUGCAUGGUGGGGGUUGGAAAGUUUCGGCGGUUGGGGAUGGACUCGCGGCUUAUCAGCUUGUUGGUGGGGUAGUGGCUUACCAAGGCUUUGACGGGUAGCCGGCCUGAGAGGGUGACCGGCCACAUUGGGACUGAGAUACGGCCCAGACUCCUACGGGAGGCAGCAGUGGGGAAUAUUGCACAAUGGGCGGAAGCCUGAUGCAGCAACGCCGCGUGCGGGAUGACGGCCUUCGGGUUGUAAACCGCUUUCGCCUGUGACGAAGCGUGAGUGACGGUAAUGGGUAAAGAAGCACCGGCUAACUACGUG